rnacentral:rRNA from 1 species
AUUGACCGCUGGCGGCAGGCCUUACACAUGCAAGUCGAGCGAGCGGCGGACGGGUGAGUAAUGUAUGGGGACUGCCCGAUAGCGGGGGAUAACUACUGGAAACGGUGGCUAAUACCGCAUACUAUCGGAUAACCCAUAUGGGAUUAGCUAGUGGGUGGGGUAAAGGCUCACCUAGGCGACGAUCGCUAGCUGGUCUGAGAGGAUGAUCAGCAACACUGGGACAUAGCCACGGACCAGACUCCUACGGAGGCAGCAUUGGUGAAUAUUGCACAAUGGGCGCAAGCCUGAUGCAGCCAUGCCGCGUGUAUGAUGAAGGCCUUAGGGGUGUAAAGUACUUUAAGCCGGGAGGCGUUACCCGCAGAAGAAGCACCGGCGAACUCCGUGCCAGCAGCCGCGGUAAUUC